UACGAAGGGGGCUAGCGUUGCUCGGAAUUACUGGGCGUAAAGGGCGCGUAGGCGGCACUGUUAGUCAGGCGUGAAAGUCCUGGGCUCAACCUGGGAACUGCGCUUGAUACGGCAGAGCUAGAGGAUGGAAGAGGGUCGCGGAAUUCCCAGUGUAGAGGUGAAAUUCGUAGAUAUCUGGAGGAACACCGGUGGCGAAGGCGGCAUCCUGGACCGAUAUUGACGCUGAGGCGCGAAAGCCAGGGGAGCAAACGGG
rnacentral:rRNA from 1 species